rnacentral:rRNA from 1 species
GACGAACGCUGGCGGCGUGCUUAACACAUGCAAGUCGAACGAAGUGGCGAACGGGUGAGUAACGCGUAAUCAACCUGUCCGUCAGAGGGGGACAACAGUUGGAAACGACUGCUAAUCCCGCAUACUGAAGGAGGGGAUUGCGUCUGAUUAGCUAGGUGGAGGGGUAACGGCCCACUAAGGCGAAGAUCAGUAGCCGGGCUGAGAGGAUGAACUGCCACAUUGGGACUGAUACACGGCCCAGCAUCCUACGGGAGGCAGCAGUGGGGAAUCUUCCGCAAUGGACGAAAGUCUGACGGAGCAACGCCGCGUGAGUGAUGACGGCCUUCGGGUUGUAAAGCUCUGUUAAUCGGGACGCGGUACCGGAAUAGAAAGCCACGGCUAACUACGUGCCAGCAGCCGCGGUAAUUC